UCCCUGGUGGCUCAGAUGGUAAAGCGUCUACCCAUAAUGCAGGAGAUCCGGGUUCGAUCCCCGGCGGGAA
rnacentral:tRNA from 1 species